rnacentral:rRNA from 1 species
AACGAACGCUGGCGGCAGGCUUAACACAUGCAAGUCGAACGCCCCGCAAGGGGAGUGGCGCACGGGUGAGUAACGCGUGGGAAUAUGCCCUUCGGUUCGGAAUAACACAGGGAAACUUGUGCUAAUACCGGAUACGAUCUACGGAUGAAAGAUUUAUCGCCGAGGGAGUAGCCCGCGUAGGAUUAGCUAGUUGGUGAGGUAAUGGCUCACCAAGGCGACGAUCCUUAGCUGGUCUGAGAGGAUGAUCAGCCACACUGGGACUGAGACACAGGCCAGACUCCUACGGGAGGCAGCAGUGGGGAAUAUUGGACAAUGGGGGAACCCCUGAUCCAGCCAUGCCGCGUGAGUGAUGAAGGCCUUAGGGUUGUAAAGCUCUUUCGCCAGGGAAGAUAAUGACGGUACCUGGAAAAGAAGCCUCGGCUAACUCCGUGCCAGCCGCCGCCGUAAAAC